GCCGUUGUAGUAUAGUGGCAGUACAAUACGUUGUGGCCGUGUUGACCCUGGUUCGAUUCCAGCCAACGGCA
rnacentral:tRNA from 1 species